rnacentral:rRNA from 1 species
CCACCUUUGACAUGUAUGGAAGAUCGCAGAGACGCGAUUGUGCUCGAAAGAGAGCCAUAACACAGGUGCUGCAUGGCUGUCGUCAGCUCGUGUCGUGAGAUGUUGGGUUAAGUCCCGCAACGAGCGCAACCCUUGCCAUUAGUUGCUACAUUCAGUUGGGCACUCUAAUGGGACUGCCGGUGACAAACCGGAGGAAGGUGGGGAUGACGUCAAGUCCUCAUGGCCCUUAUAGGUGGGGCUACACACGUCAUACAAUGGCUGGUACAAAGGGUAGCCAACCCGCGAGGGGGAGCCAAUCCCAUAAAGCCAGUCGUAGUCCGGAUCGCAGUCUGCAACUCGACUGCGUGAAGUCGGAAUCGCUAGUAAUCGUGGAUCAGAAUGUCACGGUGAAUACGUUCCCGGGUCUUGUACACACCG